GACGAACGCUGGCGGCGUGCCUAACACAUGCAAGUGGAGCGACGAACCAGGGCUUGCCCUGGGGCGAAGCCGCGAACGGGUGAGUAACACGUGGGUAACCUGCCCCGAUGACCGGGACAACCCGAGGAAACUCGGGCUAAUACCGGAUGUGCUCGCCGCACUCAAGUGCGGUGAGUAAAGGAAGCUUCGGCCUCCGCUUCGGGAGAGGCCCGUGGCCCAUUAGCUUGUUGGUGAGGUAACGGCUCACCAAGGCAACGAUGGGUAGCUGGUCUGAGAGGACGAUCAGCCACACUGGGACUGAGACACGGCCCAGACUCCUACGGGAGGCAGCAGUGGGGAAUCUUGCGCAAUGCGCGAAAGCGUGACGCAGCAACGCCGCGUGGGGGAAGAAGGCC
rnacentral:rRNA from 1 species